GCAAGAAGUGAUUGAAGGCAGAGAGAAAUUAGAAGGCGUUGCUCAUGGAGGCGGGCGACAGCGAGGGUAUGUUGAGCAUCCGAAUUGAAUACGUCAAAAGUCUGGUACAAGAAAUCGAGAUGUUAUGAGAUACGUUCUGAGGUCAGAGCACGCAUAUCGAGAAAGCCUGAGAGGCUAAAUUAAGGUUAUGCCUCUAGAACAUUCCACGUUCCAGUUAGGACUUGCAGAUGUGGCAAGAAGAUGAUUGAGACGUAACGACACGUGAUGAUGUGGCUGAUGGGUUUGGUGAGUUGUCCCGGUAUUUGCUUCCUCAUGAGGAUUCAUGAUAUAUUAUCAUAUUGAUGAUCAUGUAUGGUUUAAUGUAUUUUUGAGGUACUUAGUUGUUAUCUCUUGAUGAUAAGUCUCAAUGUAAUUAAGUAUUUGAAGAUGUAAUGGUACGGAUUCUUAUUUUAUGAUUAAAGUGGAUUUCGA